ACCACUAGGGGUGCCAAAUAUGGCUGAGAAUAACCCUUAUUACCUGAUCUAGAUUAUGCUAGCGUAGGGAAGUGGCAUAUUU
rnacentral:ncRNA from 1 species